rnacentral:lncRNA from 1 species
GACUCAGAGCUGCCAUCCUGGAUCUCACCACCAGAAGCUGCCCAGAAGUUUGGUAUUAGAGGUACUUUGUUGCCCCCUUGUGACAAAAACUCUGAACUGCAGCUUGAACGUGUCUUGGAAGGAAAGUGGGAGGGAGGUGCUCUGACCCAAACUCAAAAGACACUGAACUGUCUGGAAGUCAAGAUGAAGACGAUAGAAUUCUUUGGGUACAGCGUAUUGAUGGCCUUCUCUGGACAUUUUAUACAAAUGGAAUCAUACAAUAUGUUGUCUUUUGCAUACUGAUCUUCCUUCCCUUGGCUUAAUAUUUUCAAGCUUCAAAUAUCGUAUAGUGUAUCAGUAUUUCAUUCCUUUCUUUGGCCAAAUACACCACAUUUUAUUUACCCAUUCAUUGAUAGGCGGACAUUUGAGUUGUUUUCACUUUUGGCUAUUAUGAAUAAUGAUGCUAUGUACAUUCCUUUACUAGUUUUUAUGUAGACAUAUGUUUUCAUUUGUCCUGGCUGUGUGCCUAGGAGUGAAAUUGUUGAGUCACUUAGUAACUCUCCGUUGAGCUGUUUGAGGAACUGCCAGACUGUUUUCAUGACCCUGACAGUGUUGAGGAGUGCAGGCACAGUCUGUCGUUUUUCUUCUGAUUGGACUCUUGUUAUGAGUUUUGAGAAAGAAUACCGUAGAGUUGAAGUGCCCUUCUUGUCACUUCCUAUUUAGGAGGAGGUGAUAUCCACUUGACAUCAAUUCGUCACUGGAGAUGCUGACCUUCAUCGCAGGGUUUAGGGUGGGGUUUGGCUAGUUUCUCCAGUGCACAGUAACUAUUUUCCAUUCACCUUUUCUAUUCUCUGAAGUGAGUCACUAAGUCUGUCCUGCCCUCAGUGGUGGGAGUGAGAUAUGGUUCUCCUCAUGGAGGCAGGGUAUCCACAUAUAUUAUUUGGAGUUACUUAAAGAUACUUUAUCUCAUGGAAUCCAUUUUUUGUUAAUUCAGACGUUUAUAUAUAUGUCCGUAUGGACUCAUGUAUAUGUAUUUUCUCAGGUUUUUUUUUUUUCAAAUGGCUACAUCCCAAAAGAAGGUCUAGCAUCAUGAUUUCUCUGGUGUAGAAAAUGGAUUUUGACUGAACACUCAGGAAACUGCAAAAGAGUUCCUUAACUUCGCCAUUAUAUAUCACCACCUGUUAUCUAGAUAUGGUAUGUUAGACAAUGUUUUUAAGUAAUAUAUUUACCCGUGGCAGAGUUUGGAAUGACAUUACACUUUCAUAUGCUUUUAUUCCAUGAUUGAUUUCCUUGAAAAAGAAAUAAAAACAUAUGACAGAGGUAUU